GGGUUGUGAGGUUAAGCGACUAAGCGUACACGGUGGAUGCCCUGGCAGUCAGAGGCGAUGAAGGGCGUACUAAUCUGCGAUAAGCGCCGGUAAGGUGAUAUGAACCGUUAUAACCGGCGAUACCCGAAUGGGGAAACCCAGUGUGAUUCGUCACACUAUCAUUAACUGAAUCCAUAGGUUAAUGAGGCGAACCGGGGGAACUGAAACAUCUAAGUACCCCGAGGAAAAGAAAUCAACCGAGAUUCCCCCAGUAGCGGCGAGCGAACGGGGAGGAGCCCAGAGCCUGAAUCAGCAUGUGUGUUAGUGGAAGCGUCUGGAAAGGCGCGCGAUACAGGGUGACAGCCCCGUACACAAAAGCGCAUGUGCUGUGAGCUCGAUGAGUAGGGCGGGACACGUGGUAUCCUGUCUGAAUAUGGGGGGACCAUCCUCCAAGGCUAAAUACUCCUGACUGACCGAUAGUGAACCAGUACCGUGAGGGAAAGGCGAAAAGAACCCCGGCGAGGGGAGUGAAAAAGAACCUGAAACCGUGUACGUACAAGCAGUGGGAGCACCCUUUGGGUGUGAC
rnacentral:rRNA from 2 species